UCUGCUGAGAUUCUGCUGGACUUGGAACAGUGGGCAGUAGUUUCUAACACUCCCCUUUGCUUCCCCUUUUAACCUUCAUAGUAUUGCAAUGUAUGUGAAUAGCACACCAAGUGGUACAGAGAUUAUCCUGAAGACAAAAAAGGCUGUUUAUGCCAGCUCCCCUAUUUCUUUUUUUUUCCCAGGAACAGUAAACUUUUACAGAGCUGUCUGUGGCUCUGACAACCUUCGCCUGAGAAAAUUCCACUGCCUUCUCCUGAGUUGUGUUAAGAUGAAAAGGUGGCAGACUGCUGACAUAACAAGAGAAGGAAGCUCUUCCCACAAAUCCCUCAAUAGACCAGCACUAUUAAAAUCCCAUGGCAGGAUAUGUCUCCAUCAGGAUAUUACCUUUCUACGCAGUCUGACAGCCUGGAUGUUAAGUUGGAUGCUGGAGCAUCGUGGCCACCUAUUGCAUACAAGAACCCAUUCCAGGUGGUUA